CAAUAGCGUAUAUUAAAGUUGUUGCAGUUAAAAAGCUCGUAGUUGAAUUUCUGGCGGGCGCGCCGGUCUUCCAAGUGUUGUACUGGGCGCAGUCCGCCGUCCUUGUGGAGAGGGCUCGCAUUGAGUUGCGUGUCGGAUCUGCAUCAUUUACUGUGAAAAAAUUAGAGUGUUUAAAGCAGGCUGUCGCUUGAAUACAUUAGCAUGGAAUAAUAAGAUAGGACUUCGGUCUAUUUUGUUGGUUGCGAACCGAGGUAAUGAUUAAUAGGGAUAGUUGGGGGUAUUCAUAUUUAAUUGUCAGAGGUGAAAUUCUUGGAUUUAUGAAAGAUGAACAACUGCGAAAGCAUUUACCAAGGAUGUUUUCAUUAA
rnacentral:rRNA from 1 species